rnacentral:lncRNA from 10 species
AGUGCGGUGUUUUAGCCGGUGGCUGCUGUCUCUGGGCGGGCCGUGGGAGGCUCCCGAGGUGGGGGCCGGGGCGGGAUGGCUGCAGCGGCGGCCGGGGCCGGGAGCGGGCCCUGGGCGGCCCAGGAGAAGCAGUUCCCGCCGGCGCUGCUGAGUUUCUUCAUCUACAACCCGCGCUUCGGGCCGCGCGAAGGACAGGAGGAAAAUAAGAUUUUAUUUUAUCAUCCAAAUGAGGUAGAAAAGAAUGAGAAGAUUAGAAAUGUCGGAUUGUGUGAAGCUAUUGUACAGUUUACAAGGUAAUACCUCUAAGUGUGCCUUUAGCGUUCAGUGAAUUCUUAAAACUGCUGCUGGAGAAUUGUCCCAAACAUAUUUUUUUAACCUUUGUAGGACAUUUAGCCCAUCAAAACCUGCAAAAUCUUUACAUACACAGAAGAACAGACAGUUCUUCAAUGAACCAGAAGAAAAUUUCUGGAUGGUCAUGGUAUUUACACACACAGUGUAUCUUUCUGAAAUUGUAUGGUGAAGUUAUGGGUGAUCUUUACUGUUCA